ACACGACUACAUUAGAUACCCGGGUAGUCCCAGCCGUAAACUAUGCUCGCUAGGUGUCAGGGACGGUGCGACCGUUUCUGGUGCCGCAGGGAAGCCGUGAAGCGAGCCACCUGGGAAGUACGGUCGCAAGGCUGAAACUUAAAGGAAUUGGCGGGGAGCACCACAACGGGUGGAGCCUGCGGUUUAAUUGGACUCAACGCCGGGAAGCUCACCGGAUAAGACAGCGGAAUGAUUGCCGGGCUGAAGACUCUGCAUGACUAGCUG
rnacentral:rRNA from 1 species